AUUGAACGCUGGCGGCAGGCUUAACACAUGCAAGUCGAGCGGAGAUGAGGUGCUUGCACCUUAUCUUAGCGGCGGACGGGUGAGUAAUGCUUAGGAAUCUGCCUAUUAGUGGGGGACAACAUUCCGAAAGGAAUGCUAAUACCGCAUACGCCCUACGGGGGAAAGCAGGGGAUCUUCGGACCUUGCGCUAAUAGAUGAGCCUAAGUCGGAUUAGCUAGUUGGUGGGGUAAAGGCCUACCAAGGCGACGAUCUGUAGCGGGUCUGAGAGGAUGAUCCGCCACACUGGGACUGAGACACGGCCCAGACUCCUACGGGAGGCGGCAGUGGGGAAUAUUGGACAAUGGGCGGAAGCCUGAUCCAGCCAUGCCGCGUGUGUGAAGAAGGCCUUUUGGUUGUAAAGCACUUUAAGCGAGGAGCAGGCUACCUGGAUUAAUACUCUAGGAUAGUGGACGUUACUCGCAGAAUAAGCACCGGCUAACUCUGUGCCAGCCGCCGCAGUAAUAC
rnacentral:rRNA from 1 species